CCUACGGGAGGCUGCAGUCGAGAAUCAUUCACAAUGGGGGAAACCCUGAUGGUGCGACGCCGCGUGGGGGAAUGAAGGUCUUCGGAUUGUAAACCCCUGUCAUGUGGGAGCAAAUUAAAAAGAUAGUCCCACAAGAGGAAGAGACGGCUAACUCUGUUACAGCAGCCGCGGUAAUACAGAGGGCUCAAGCGUUGUUCGGAAUCACUGGGCGUAAAGCGUGCGUAGGCUGUUUCGUAAGUCGUGUGUGAAAGGCGCGGGCUCAACCCGCGGACGGCACAUGAUACUGGGAGACUAGAGUAAUGGAGGGGGAACCGGAAUUCUCGGUGUAGCAGUGAAAUGCGUAGAUAGCGAGAGGAACACUCGUGGCGAAGGCGGGUUCCCGGACACUAACUGACGCUGAGGCACGAAGGCCAGGGGAGCGAAAGGGAUUAGAUACCCGGGUAGUC
rnacentral:rRNA from 1 species